GUAGGUGGCAAGCGUUGUCCGGAAUUAUUGGGCGUAAAGCGCGCGCAGGCGGUUCUUUAAGUCUGAUGUGAAAGCCCACGGCUCAACCGUGGAGGGUCAUUGGAAACUGGAGAACUUGAGUACAGAAGAGGAAAGCGGAAUUCCACGUGUAGCGGUGAAAUGCGUAGAGAUGUGGAGGAACACCAGUGGCGAAGGCGGCUUUCUGGUCUGUAACUGACGCUGAGGCGCGAAAGCGUGGGGAGCAAACAGGGAUUAGAUACCCUGGUAGUCCACGCCGUAAACGAUGAGUGCUAAGUGUCAGGGGGGCUUCCGCCCCUUAGUGCUGCAGCUAACGCAUUAAGCACUCCGCCUGGGAGUACGGCCGCAAGGCUG
rnacentral:rRNA from 1 species